rnacentral:tRNA from 1 species
GUGGCUAUAGCUCAGUUGGUAGAGCCCCGGGUUGUAAUUCCGGUUGUCGUGGGUUCGAGCCCCAUUAGCCACCCCA